CCUACGUGCGGCUGCAGUGGGGAAUAUUGCACAAUGGGCGCAAGCCUGAUGCAGCGACGCCGCGUGGGGGAUGACGGCCUUCGGGUUGUAAACUCCUUUCGUUAGGGACGAAGCCACGCCUUUUUUUGGGUGUGGUGACGGUACCUUUGUUAAGAAGCACCGGCUAACUACGUGCCAGCAGCCGCGGUAAUACGUAGGGUGCGGGCGUUGUCCGGAAUUACUGGGCGUAAAGAGCUCGUAGGUGGUUUGUUGCGUCGUCUGUGAAAUUCCGGGGCUUAACUUCGGGGUGGCAGGCGAUACGGGCAUAACUAGAGUGCUGUAGGGGAGACUGGAAUUCCUGGUGUAGCGGUGGAAUGCGCAGAUAUCAGGAGGAACACCGAUGGCGAAGGCAGGUCUCUGGGCAGUAACUGACGCUGAGGAGCGAAAGCAUGGGGAGCGAACAGGAUUAGAUACCCCGGUAGUC
rnacentral:rRNA from 1 species